GUUACAACCCCAUCACAUUUAAGAACUUUUGAUAUAUUAAAAAUAAAUAAAUAAAAGUAAUCAUAAUUCAAUUAUAAUGGGAAUAUCAUUCGCCCCAUGUGGCAUGUGGUUCUCUGAAAGCAAGGUGAAGCAGUGGCGUGAGAAGCUUCACAUCUGAGUGCCUUAUUUUUCUUAAUAUUUUGAGAAAAAUGCGUGGUUUGUAGCUGCGUCUGGGUUUGAAUUUUGUUAUGUGGAAUUUUUGUAUUGACUU
rnacentral:misc_RNA from 1 species